CGUGUGGUUCUAUUUUGUUGGUUUCUAGGACCGCCGUAAUGAUUAAUAGGGAUAGUCGGGGGCAUCAGUAUUCAAUUGUCAGAGGUGAAAUUCUUGGAUUUAUUGAAGACUAACAACUGCGAAAGCAUUUGCCAAGGAUGUUUUCAUUAAUCAAGAACGAAAGUUGGGGGCUCGAAGACGAUCAGAUACCGUCGUAGUCUUAACCGUAAACUAUGCCGACUAGGGAUCGGGCGAUGUUCUUUUUCUGACUCGCUCGGCACCUUACGAGAAAUCAAAGUUUUUGGGUUCUGGGGGGAGUAUGGUCGCAAGGCUGAAACUUAAAGAAAUUGACGGAAGGGCACCACCAGGGGUGGAGCCUGCGGCUUAAUUUGACUCAACACGG
rnacentral:rRNA from 1 species